rnacentral:snRNA from 1 species
GUGCCCGCUUCGGCAGCACAUACACUAAAAUUGGAACGAUACAGAGAUUAGCAUGGCCCCUGUCAAAGGAUGAUACACAAAUUCAUGAUGUGUUCUAUAUUU